rnacentral:rRNA from 1 species
CCUACGGGAGGCAGCAGUGAGGAAUAUUGGUCAAUGGACGAGAGUCUGAACCAGCCAAGUAGCGUGAAGGAUGACUGCCCUAUGGGUUGUAAACUUCUUUUAUAAAGGAAUAAAACGAGGCACGUGUGCCUUUUUGCAUGUACUUUAUGAAUAAGGAUCGGCUAACUCCGUGCCAGCAGCCGCGGUAAUACGGAGGAUCCGAGCGUUAUCCGGAUUUAUUGGGUUUAAAGGGAGCGUAGAUGGGUUGUUAAGUCAGUUGUGAAAGUUUGCGGCUCAACCGUAUAAUUGCAAUUGAUACUGGAAGUCUUGAGUACAGUUGAGGUAGGCGGAAUUCGUGGUGUAGCGGUGAAAUGCUUAGAUAUCACGAAGAACCCCGAUUGCGAAGGCAGCUUACUAAACUGUGACUGACAUUGAUGCUCGAAAGUGUGGGUAUCAAACAGGAUUAGAUACCCCUGUAGUC